rnacentral:rRNA from 1 species
AUGCUGGAGGUAUCAGAAGUGCGAAUGCUGACAUAAGUAACGAUAAAGCGGGUGAAAAGCCCGCUCGCCGGAAGACCAAGGGUUCCUGUCCAACGUUAAUCGGGGCAGGGUGAGUCGACCCCUAAGGCGAGGCCGAAAGGCGUAGUCGAUGGGAAACAGGUUAAUAUUCCUGUACUUGGUGUUACUGCGAAGGGGGGACGGAGAAGGCUAUGUUGGCCGGGCGACGGUUGUCCCGGUUUAAGCGUGUAGGCUGAUUUUCCAGGCAAAUCCGGAAAAUCAAGGCUGAGGCGUGAUGACGAGGCACUACGGUGCUGAAGCAACAAAUGCCCUGCUUCCAGGAAAAGCCUCUAAGCAUCAGGUAACAUCAAAUCGUACCCCAAACCGACACAGGUGGUCAGGUAGAGAAUACCAAGGCGCUUGAGAGAACUCGGGUGAAGGAACUAGGCAAAAUGGUGCCGUAACUUCGGGAGAAGGCACGCUGAUAUGUAGGUGAAGCGACUUGCUCGUGGAGCUGAAAUCAGUCGAAGAUACCAGCUGGCU